rnacentral:rRNA from 1 species
UACGUAGGGUCCAAGCGUUAUCCGGAAUCACUGGGCGUAAAGCGUUUGUAGGCGGUUUGUUAAGUGAGGUGUUAAAUCGUGUGGCUCAACCAUAUCGAGUGCAUCUCAUACUGGCAGACUAGAGGAAGGCAGAGGCAAGUGGAAUUACGAGUGUAGCAGUAAAAUGCGUAGAGAUUCGUAGGAACACCAAUGGCGAAGGCAGCUUGCUGGGCCUUUUCGUGACGCUGAGG